GUAGGUGGCAAGCGUUGUCCGGAAUUAUUGGGCGUAAAGCGCGCGCAGGUGGUUUCUUUAAGUCUGAUGUGAAAGCCCCCGGCUCAACCGGGGAGGGUCAUUGGAAACUGGGGAACUUGAGUGCAGGAGAGGAAAGUGGAAUUCCACGUGUAGCGGUGAAAUGCGUAGAUAUGUGGAGGAACACCAGUGGCGAAGGCGACUUUCUGGCCUGUAACUGACACUGAGGCGCGAAAGCGUGGGGAGCAAACAGGGAUUAGAUACCCUGGUAGUCCACGCCGUAAACGAUGAGUGCUAAGUGUUGGGGGGGUUUCCCGCCCCUCAGUGCUGCAGCUAACGCAUUAAGCACUCCGCCUGGGGAUACGGUCGCAAGACUG
rnacentral:rRNA from 1 species